rnacentral:misc_RNA from 1 species
GAAAUGCGAUAAGUAAUGUGAAUUGCAGAAUUCAGUGAAUCAUCGAAUCUUUGAACGCACAUUGCGCCCAUUAGUAUUCUAGUGGGCAUGCCUGUUCGAGCGUCAUUUCAACCCCUAAGCACAGCUUAUUGUUGGGCGUCUACGUCUGUAGUGCCACAAAGACAUUGGCGGAGCGGCAGCAGUCCUCUGAGCGUAGUAAUUCUUUAUCUCGCUUCUGUUAGGCGCUGCACCCCCGGCCGUAAAACCCCCAAUUUUUUCUGGUUGACCUCGGAUCAGGUAGGAAUACCCGCUGAACUUAAGC